rnacentral:rRNA from 1 species
UACGAAGGGGGCUAGCGUUGCUCGGAAUCACUGGGCGUAAAGCGCACGUAGGCGGAUUGCUAAGUCAGGGGUGAAAUCCUGGAGCUCAACUCCAGAACUGCCUUUGAUACUGGCGACCUUGAGUCCGGGAGAGGUGAGUGGAACUGCGAGUGUAGAGGUGAAAUUCGUAGAUAUUCGCAAGAACACCAGUGGCGAAGGCGGCUCACUGGCCCGGUACUGACGCUGAGGCGCGAAAGCUAGGGGAGCAAACGGG